UUGAGGAAUUAACCCAAGCCCAGUGCUAGGCCACGGAGAAGCAGGGGUUCAAGCCACAUUCAGACAGCUGCCAGGCACGACGCCACGCCGCUGCAGGCAGAAGCACUUCGCACACUCCUGUGAGACCCGGGCUUUCUCAGUGGUCAGCCCGUUGUACUGGGUCCUGCUUCCCCUAGGCUGGGUUCCCCUGGCCAGGCCCUUCACGGCCAGCAGACCCUGAGACAGACCCGAGCAGACCCGCUCUGGAUGGAUAGGGAUGGCACAGCCCCGUCGGUGCUGAGUUCCGGUGAUGCCAAACCAACAUGUUUAUAAAUGGUUGAUCCCCCUGAGACAUCCACAGUGCAGAGGGAAGGGCCUUGUGUGCUGUGAGACAAAAAUCAGAAAUUACCUAGAAAUUAAACUCUUCAAAUACAGAUCAGCUUUAUGGAGAAAAUUUCAAAAUUUGUCUAAAGAGCAGAAGAGAAUGCAUGAACAAGGCAGGGACGCAGUCUGUAAGAAGAAUUUUUACGUAGUCUGUAAGAAGAAUUUGUUACAGAGACGCCGAUUGCCCCAUGUUUUUCAAUAAACUGAACACAUUGCAAUCAGAAAUCUCAGCAUGAUUUCGGGUGAGAAUGAGAUACGGCAAAUCGAGCCCACAACGUACACAGAACAACAGCCACGGCAAUUUGCAAGAAUGAAAGCACCCAUGACAUGCGAAGGCUGCAAAACGAUAAUCAUCUAAAUACUCUAGCGCAGCCCAGCAAUCGAUGAUCCAGCCGUGGAAGAGAAUCAAAACCAGAAAAAGCCUCAGGAGGCAGCACAGCAUCGGGGCAGACGGAAUGUGUUAUGCAGCCAUGACGGCGGGAACCCUGGAUUGGUCCCCCGCUUCCACAGGUCAGAUCUAGGGACGGGGCUGCGGCUCAAAGGGCCCAGCAGCCUCCUGCCCACCUGGGAAGCGGAGAACUCGGGGCGGGGUGGGGGCGGGGCACCUGCUCAGGGGAGCCGGGCUGGGCUAACCUUCUGGCCACAGGGGACAGCCUGGGACAGGGCCACCCGAGCAGCUCCCUUCCCUCCAAGAGGCAAGUCAGAGAGCCCUGCGUGGGCCAGACGAUCUCUUCCCGUGGGUCCUGAGCCGGCGCCAUCAGAGGAUCCCAUGGGAGGCCGGAGGCUGGCGGGCAGCUUCUCCACCCACAGGCUCCGAGCUGGCAAACGAGGCAGCCCCACGGUCUCCUCUGGGGUGGGGGAGGCAGCCGGCCAUGAGGGGAGAAGUCACACGCCCCAGCUUGGGGAGCCCCAGCUGCCCCAAGGGCCACCUCCACGCUGCCCUCAUCAUAGCUUCCGACUCCCAGGACAAGGAGGUCCCUCAAAGAACACAGGCCCCAGGCCGGCACAAGAGGUCCAUUGCUCCCCAACCUGAAGGGCCCAC
rnacentral:lncRNA from 1 species